UUAGGAAGAACAUAAAGUAGUGGCAGUCUUUUGCCCUUUGGACUAUUGCCCAACUCCUGUGCAUUUGAUGCUGACAUCUCUAUUUUCAUGAAGAUAUUCUGAAACUCUGGAUCAGAUUUUAGAAAGUCUAGAGGUUUCUUUACCCCUUUUGAGAUGUGGAGAUGUACUCAGCUGAAGACUGAAAAAGGACCCUCUGCACAGCCCCACAUUGCAUUCUGUGAGGAUUUAAAAAGAAGAAGAUCUCUGAUGCAGAGUACCUCUGUGGUCAUCUAGAAAUUGUGAGUUA